UGCCAGCCGCCGCGGUAAUACGUAGGGACCAAGCGUUGUCCGGAAUUAUUGGGCGUAAAGAGCUCGUAGGCGGUUCGGUAAGUCGGGUGUGAAAAUCCAGGGCUCAACCCUGGGACGCCACCCGAUACUGCUGUGACUAGAGUCCGGUAGAGGAGCGUGGAAUUCCUGGUGUAGCGGUGAAAUGCGCAGAUAUCAGGAGGAACACCAGCGGCGAAGGCGGCGCUCUGGGCCGGUACUGACGCUGAGGAGCGAAGGCGUGGGGAGCAAACAGGAUUAGAUA
rnacentral:rRNA from 1 species